rnacentral:rRNA from 1 species
AUUGAACGCUGGCGGCAGGCCUAACACAUGCAAGUCGAACGGUAACAGGAAGCAGCUCGCUGCUUCGCUGACGAGUGGCGGACGGGUGAGUAAUGUCUGGGAAGCUGCCUGAUGGAGGGGGAUAACUACUGGAAACGGUAGCUAAUACCGCAUAAUGUCGCAAGACCAAAGAGGGGGACCUUCGGGCCUCUUGCCAUCGGAUGUGCCCAGAUGGGAUUAGCUUGUUGGUGGGGUAACGGCUCACCAAGGCGACGAUCCCUAGCUGGUCUGAGAGGAUGACCAGCCACACUGGGACUGAGACACGGUCCAGACUCCUACGGGAGGCAGCAGUGGGGAAUAUUGCACAAUGGGCGCAAGCCUGAUGCAGCCAUGCCGCGUGUAUGAAGAAGGCCUUCGGGUUGUAAAGUACUUUCAGCGGGGAGGAAGGGAGUAAAGUUAAUACCUUUGCUCAUUGACGUUACCCGCAGAAGAAGCACCGGCUAACUCCGUG